rnacentral:lncRNA from 1 species
AGCGGGGUCUGCCCGGCACGGCGCUGGGCGUGGCGAGAUAAGCGCAGGGACUGGGCGGGGCCGGGGGCGCAUUCCGCAGGAAGGGCUGGCGCCUCGGGUGCUGGCGCGGCGGCGUCGCUGGGGGACCGGCAGGCUGCGGUCCCCUGGGCCGCAUGUGGAAAGUGGGGUACCCGGCUCGGCUCGCGCUCCGUCCACCCGCACCCGGCCCCUCCUCCAGCCCAGCCGAGGCCACAUCUCCCUUCUCUGGGGACCAGCUCCUGCUUCCUGGCUCCAAGCUGUUCCGGUUAGCAGCUGGGGCGAACACAGGUGGGACCGGACGGCCAGCUAAGCACAGACACCCCCAGCCGGCCACGCCCCUGCGAAGGGAUGGCCCAGCACAGACCCGGGAGGAGGGGGCAUGCCGCCUCCCGGUGACCCCAGAGACUGAUCAGGAGCACCGAAGGUUCGAGGCCAACCUCUGGCUCUUGCAAACCCGGCUGGGGAUGUGGCUCGUGGUAGAGCACCCCGGGCUCGAUUUCCGACACACACGAAAGAAUUUCCUAGAUAGCUCCUCCUCCAGAAGGUCAGCUGAAGCCUUCCGCAGAGGCGGACUUCGCCAUGCAGAGCCCCUCCAGUGGCCCGGUCAGGGGCGACAAGUCACGUGGGCAACUCCUGGCCUGCCUGGCGGUGGUGGACUCGGUGACAAGGGCCUUUGAGACUCUUCCCCCCAAGGCUCCUCAAAACCACCCAGGCCAUCCCUGGUCAGCUGGGGACAGAGCAGGCUCAGCUUGAGGCCCUGGGUGUGACGCCCAGCACCCAAGGCCACAGGAGAUGGAGGGGCCCACUGGGGAAGCCAUGUGACUUCCUGGGUGGCAUCCUGGGCCACUGAGGGACAUUUGUGACAUCCCAAUAGAGGGUCGUUUCCUUAAUAGUAAUGUGCCCGUCUUUCUCUCUCUCCCCCUCUCCCCCCUCCCUCUCUCCCCCUCUCCCCCCUCCCUCUCCCCCCCCCCCCCCUCUCUCUCUCUCUCUCUCUCUCUCUCUCUUUCUUUCAUUUUCCAAGUCCUUUAUUUCACUUUUUUUUUAUGUGGUGCUCAGGAUCGAACCCAGUGCCUCAUGUGUGCUAGGCGAGGACUCUACCACUGAGCCACCACCCCAGCCCCUCUUGGAUUCGUUAUUUUUAUAUUUACUUAUUUAUUUUUAGUUGUCGAUGGACACAUACCUUUAUCUUAUUUAUUCAUUUUUAUGUGGUGCUGAGGAUCGCACCCAGUGCCUCACACGUGCCAGGCAGGUGCUCUCCCAUUGAGCCACAACCCUAGCCCCAGGUUCUUGAUCUUGACAGAUAUACUAGGGCCGGUAAUGGCAGAUGAUGAUAUUUGGUUGAGGGGUCAAAGGGAAUCUAGAAUCACUGCAAAUUCUCUAUAAAUCUCAAAGUUUCUAAGAUUUUUUUAAAAAAGGUUAUUAAAAAGGAAAACCAGGCUUAUGAGUACCUCUGUCCAGCUCACAACCAUCAUUCAAGCAGAAGGCAGAAUCUAUUGAGUCAGGAGAGGAAUUUGUGCUAUAAAUUGCAUUCAUAAAAAUUCAUUAAAUGUAAUUUUUCUGUAUUUAUUUUUGUGGUACUAGGGAUUGAAGCCAGCGAUGUUUUACCAUUGAGCUGCAUCCCCAGCCCUUUUUAUUUUUUUACUUUGAGACAGGGUCUCACUAAGUUGCCCAGGCUGUCCUUGAACUUGCAAUUCUCCUGCCUCAGCCUCCCAAGUCACUGGGGUUCCAGCUGUGCACCACCAUGACUGGCUGUAUUUAAAAUGUGCUGAGGACAAGAAGCUCAGGUAUCCGAUAUCUUGUUAUUAUGUGCAUGUUCAAAUGUUUGGAGUGAAUUGAUACUUGCAAACUGCUUUGAAAUGAUUUCUUUUUAAAGGGAUGUAUAUGGAGGUGGGGUUUGGGGCUUAGUGCUUGCCUAGCACACAUGAGGCACUGGGUUUGAUCUUCAGCACUGCAUUAAAAAACUUAAAAAUGAAAUAAAGGUAUUGUGUCCAUCUACAACAAAAGAAAAAUAAAUUUUUAAGGAUGCAUGAGAAUCCUGUCACUUCUGUUCAGUUUUGGUGUGAACCUAACACUUCUUUGAAAAAUAAAGUUUAC